GGGCCCGCACAAGCAGCGGAGCGUGUGGUUUAAUUCGACGCAACGCGCAGAACCUUACCAGGGCUUGACAUGCAGGCAAAAGCCGGGGAGACUCGGUGUCCCUUCGGGGGGCCUGCACAGAUGCUGCAUGGCUGUCGUCAGCUCGUGCCGUGAGGUGUUGGGUUAAGUCCCGCAACGAGCGCAACCCUCGUCGCUAGUUGAAUGUCUAGCGAGACUGCCGAGACUAACUCGGAGGAAGGUGGGGAUGACGUCAAGUCAGCACGGCUCUUACGUCCUGGGCUACACACACGCUACAAUGGUCGGUACAACGGGCAGCGACUGGGCGACCACGAGCCAAUCCCAGCAAAGCCGACCUCAGUUCAGAUCGGAGUCUGAAACUCGACUCCGUGAAGGCGGAGUUGCUAGUAACCGCAGGUCAGCACACUGCGGUGAAUACGUUCCCGGGCCUU
rnacentral:rRNA from 1 species